rnacentral:rRNA from 1 species
UACGUAGGGUGCGAGCGUUGUCCGGAAUUACUGGGCGUAAAGAGCUCGUAGGUGGUUUGUCGCGUUGUCCGUGAAAUUCCCUGGCUUAACUGGGGGCGUGCGGGCGAUACGGGCAGACUGGAGUACUGCAGGGGAGACUGGAAUUCCUGGUGUAGCGGUGGAAUGCGCAGAUAUCUGCAGGGAACACCCGUGGCGAAAAGCGGCGCGU